rnacentral:rRNA from 1 species
AUUGAACGCUGGCGGCAGGCUUAACACAUGCAAGUCGAGCGGGGACUUCGGUCCUAGCGGCGAACGGGUGAGGAAUGCUUGGGAAUCUGCCCAGUAGCGGGGGAUAACGUUUCGAAAGGAACGCUAAUACCGCAUACGCCCUACGGGGGAAAGGGGGGGAUCUUCGGACCUCUCACUAUUGGAUGAGCCCAAGUCGGAUUAGCUAGUUGGUGGGGUAAAGGCCUACCAAGGCGACGAUCCGUAGCUGGUCUGAGAGGAUGAUCAGCCACACUGGAACUGAGACACGGUCCAGACUCCUACGGGAGGCAACAGUGGGGAAUAUUGGACAAUGGGCGAAAGCCUGAUCCAGCCAUGCCGCGUGUGUGAAGAAGGCCUUCGGGUUGUAAAGCACUUUAAGCGAGGAGGAAUGGCUGAGGGUUAAUAACCUUCAGCAGUGACGUUACUCGCAGAAUAAGCACCGGCUAACUCUGUGCCAGCCGCCGCUGUAAUAC